UUGCUGUGUAAGUCCAUUGGGAAAUCGACGCGCUCAACGCGUCGGCGUCCGGUGGAAACUGCACGGCUUGGGGCCGAGAGACUCGACGGGUACGUCCGGGGUAGGAGUGAAAUCCCGUAAUCCUGGACGGACCACCAAUGGGGAAACCACGUCGAGAGACCGGACCCGACAGUGAGGGACGAAAGCCAGGGUCUCGAACCGGAUUAGAUACCCGGGUAGUCCUGGCUGUAAACAAUGCUCGCUAGGUAUGUCACGCGCCAUGAGCACGUGAUGUGCCGUAGUGAAGACGAUAAGCGAGCCGCCUGGGAA
rnacentral:rRNA from 1 species